GACGAACGCUGGCGGCGUGCUUAACACAUGCAAGUCGAACGAAGUGGCGAACGGGUGAGUAACGCGUAAUCACCCUGCCCUUCAGAGGGGGACAACCGUUGGAAACGACUGCUAAUACCGCAUACUGAAGGAGGGGAUUGCGUUUGAUUAGCUAGUUGGAGGGGUAACGGCCCACCAAGGCGAGGAUAAGUAGCCGGGCUGAUAGGAGGAACGGCCCAAUUGGGACCGAGACACGGCCCAGACUCCUACGGGAGGCAGCAGUGGGGAAUCGUCCGCAAUGGACGGAAGUCUGACGGAGCAACGCCGCGUGAGUGAUGACGGCCUUCGGGUUGUAAAGCUCUGUUAAUCGGGACGCGGUACCUGAAUAGAAAGCCACGGCUAACUACGUGCCAGCAGCCGCGGUAAUAC
rnacentral:rRNA from 1 species